rnacentral:lncRNA from 10 species
UUUGACUAUGCAAGAUGUAGCAAGAACACUGCGUGGCCCUACUUUCUGCCAAUGUUGAAUCGCCAGGAUCCCUUCACUGUUCAUAUGGCAGCAAGAAUUAUUGCCAAGUUAGCAGCUUGGGGAAAAGAACUGAUGGAAGGCAGUGACUUAAAUUACUAUUUCAAUUGGAUAAAAACUCAGCUGAGUUCACAGAAACUGCGUGGUAGCGGUGUUGCUGUUGAAACAGGAACAGUCUCUUCAAGUGAUCACAGUAUUCAGUAAAUUACACGAGCUGUUCAACACUUGAUUAUAAAAUGGGCUUUGUAUUGAUUUUUGGAAGGAUUGCCUGGAGAUAUAUUCUGAAAUGCAAAAGAAAAUUAACUGAGUUCGCAGUAUGUGCAGUGCGUGGCCGGGUGUUUGCAGCUGAUGCUCCGGGUCAAUGAGUACCGCUUUGCUUGGGUGGAAGCAGAUGGGGUAAAUUGCAUAAUGGGAGUGUUGAGUAACAAGUGUGGCUUUCAGCUCCAGUAUCAAAUGAUUUUUUCAAUAUGGCUCCUGGCAUUCAGUCCUCAAAU